rnacentral:rRNA from 1 species
UACGUAGGGUGCAAGCGUUGUCCGGAAUCAUUGGGCGUAAAGCGCGCGUAGGUGGCUUCGUAAGUCCGUUGUGAAAGUCAAAGGCUCAACCUUUGAAUGCCGAUGGAUACUGCGAAGCUAGAGUACGGAAGAGGCGAGUGGAAUUCCUGGUGUAGCGGUGGAAUGCGCAGAUAUCAGGAGGAACACCAAUAGCGAAGGCAGCUCGCUGGGACGUUACUGACACUAAGGCGCGAAAGCUAGGGGAGCAAACAGG